ACGGAGGAUCCAAGCGUUAUCCGGAAUCAUUGGGUUUAAAGGGUCCGUAGGCGGUUUAAUAAGUCAGUGGUGAAAUCUGGUCGCUCAACGAUCAAACGGCCAUUGAUACUGUUAGACUUGAAUUACUAGGAAGUAACUAGAAUAUGUAGUGUAGCGGUGAAAUGCUUAGAUAUUACAUGGAAUACCAAUUGCGAAGGCAGGUUACUACUAGUGGAUUGACGCUGAUGGACGAAAGCGUGGGGAGCGAACAGGAUUAGAUACCCUGGUAGUCCACGCCGUAAACGAUGGAUACUAGCUGUUGGGAGCAAUCUCAGUGGCUAAGCGAAAGUGAUAAGUAUCCCACCUGGGGAGUACGUUCGCAAGAAUG
rnacentral:rRNA from 1 species